GAUGAACGCUAGCUACAGGCUUAACACAUGCAAGUCGAGGGGAAACGAUAUUGGAAGCUUGCUUCCGAUAGGCGUCGACCGGCGCACGGGUAAGUAACGCGUAUCCAACCUGCCCAUCACUUGGGGAUAACCUUGCGAAAGUAGGACUAAUACCCAAUGAUAUCUCUAGAAGACAUCUGAAAGGGAUUAAAGAUUUAUCGGUGAUGGAUGGGGAUGCGUCUGAUUAGCUUGUUGGCGGGGUAACGACCCACCAAGGCGACGAUCAGUAGGGGUUCUGAGAGGAAGGUCCCCCACAUUGGAACUGAGACACGGUCCAAACUCCUACGGGAGGCAGCAGUGAGGAAUAUUGGUCAAUGGACGAGAGUCUGAACCAGCCAAGUAGCGUGCAGGAUGACGGCCCUAUGGGUUGUAAACUGCUUUUAUAAGGGAAUAAAGUGAGCCUCGUGAGGCUUUUUGCAUGUACCUUAUGAAUAAGGACCGGCUAAUUCCGUGCCAGCCGCCGCAGUAA
rnacentral:rRNA from 1 species